rnacentral:rRNA from 1 species
GAGUUUGAUCCUGGCUCAGGAUGAACGCUGGCGGCGUGCUUAACACAUGCAAGUCGAGCGAUGAAGUUUCCUUCGGGAAAUGGAUUAGCGGCGGACGGGUGAGUAACACGUGGGUAACCUGCCUCAUAGAGUGGAAUAGCCUUCCGAAAGGAAGAUUAAUACCGCAUAAUGUUGAAAGAUGGCAUCAUCAUUUAACCAAAGGAGCAAUCCGCUAUGAGAUGGACCCGCGGCGCAUUAGCUAGUUGGUGGGGUAACGGCCUACCAAGGCGACGAUGCGUAGCCGACCUGAGAGGGUGAUCGGCCACAUUGGGACUGAGACACGGCCCAGACUCCUACGGGAGGCAGCAGUGGGGAAUAUUGCACAAUGGGGGGAACCCUGAUGCAGCAACGCCGCGUGAGUGAUGAAGGUUUUCGGAUCGUAAAGCUCUGUCUUUGGGGAAGAUAAUGACGGUACCCAAGGAGGAAGCCACGGCUAACUACGUGCCAGCAGCCGCGGUAAUACGUAGGUGGCGAGCGUUAUCCGGAUUUACUGGGCGUAAAGGGAGCGUAGGCGGAUGAUUAAGUGGGAUGUGAAAUACCCGGGCUCAACUUGGGUGCUGCAUUCCAAACUGGUUAUCUAGAGUGCAGGAGAGGAGAGUGGAAUUCCUAGUGUAGCGGUGAAAUGCGUAGA